UCCUACGGGACGCAGCAGUGGGGAAUAUUGGGCAAUGGGCGCAAGCCUGACUCAGCAACGCCGCGUGAAGGAAGAAGGCUUUCGGGUUGUAAACUUCUUUUAAGAGGGAAGAGAAGAAGACGGUACCUCUUGAAUAAGCCACGGCUAACUACGUGCCAGCAGCCGCGGUAAUACGUAGGUGGCAAGCGUUGUCCGGAUUUACUGGGUGUAAAGGGCGUGCAGCCGGGCUGACAAGUCAGAUGUGAAAACUAUGGGCUCAACCCAUAGCCUGCAUUUGAAACUGUACUUCUUGAGUGCUGGAGAGG
rnacentral:rRNA from 1 species